CCGCUUCGUUCUUGCUCCAGUCUGAAUCGACACGUCCCCACACCUUUUCCUUCUUGCUGCAGUUCGAAUCCAAAAACCCAUAUCGUUGUUGCUCAUCCAAAACCCACACAGCCGCCACCACCACUUCAUCCAUCACCACAUUUUACAAAUUCCUCUUGACUGAAGUUUUGUGGCGGAAUGAAGAUAGAUCAUAUCUGAAGUUUAUUACCUUUUCAGUCGAAUAAGAAGAUUAGAGUCUGUGUGUGCAAAAUUUGGAGACCUAAAAUUAUAGGAAAGGAUAAUACAUUUGGCGGUCUUAUAUUGGUUGAUGAAAUGGUAUGUGAGCCAUCCUUGGCUCCUUAAGUCAUUGAACGUAAAAACUGUUGUGCCUUGGCUGAUUAUCUCACCAACAUACAAACCCACAGUUGAAUAGUUUAAAAUACAAGAAAUAAAGACACCGAGAAAUUUACGAGGUUCGGCAAAAACCUGCCUACGUCCUCGGAGAGA